rnacentral:rRNA from 1 species
UAUUAGUCAAUGCUCGCAAGAGUGAACUAGCUAACUGAAAUCACUUGUGGUAAUCUAAACAUAGAGUGCUCAAGAGAUGUCGUAAGGGAAAAUAAUGAUCAUACCUUACUAAAAGUGUCGUCCAAACCUGGUGCCAGAAGACUCGGUUAUACCAGAGACGCAAACGUUAAUCAUCCUAAACAGGCGUAAAGGGUAUGUAGGCAGCUUUAAAAAUAAUUAAAGCUAGAAUCUAAUAUAGGUAAAUUUGUAUAACGCUUAGAGGAGGGCUAAUAUCCAUAGAUCCUAAGUAGAAUACUCAGGGCGAAGGCCACUUACCAAUAAAGAUUGACGCUGAGAAACGAAGGUUAGGGUAGGAAAUAGGAUUAGAUACCCAGAUACUCCUUUCUGUAAACGAUGAAUGGUAGUCAUUAGUUAUAAAACUAGAGACGUAGUUAACACAAUAACCAUUCCGCCUUGUAAGUACUACUGCAAAGUAGAAAACAAAAAAAUUAGUCGGUCUCGAAGCAAACGAAGUGAAGCAUGUUAUUUAAUUC